rnacentral:rRNA from 1 species
UACGUAGGGGGCAAGCGUUGUCCGGAUUUAUUGGGCGUAAAGAGCGUGUAGGCGGUUAUGCAGGUCCGCUGUGAAAAACUGGAGGCUUAACCUCCAGACGUCGGUGGAAACCGUAUGACUAGAGUCCGGAAGAGGAGAGUGGAAUUCCUGGUGUAGCGGUGAAAUGCGCAGAUAUCAGGAAGAACACCCGUGGCGAAGGCGGCUCUCUGGGACGGUACUGACGCUGAGGCACGAAAGCGUGGGGAGCAAACAGG